rnacentral:rRNA from 1 species
CUCGAGCGGCCGCCAGUGUGAUGAAAUCUGCAGAAUUCGCCCUUAGUUUGAUUCUGGCUCAGGAUGAACGCUAGCGGCAGGCUUAAUACAUGCAAGUCGUGGGGCAGCAUGGUGUAGCAAUACACUGAUGGCGACCGGCAAACGGGUGCGGAACACGUACAGAACCUUCCUUCAAGUGGUGAAUAGCCCAGAGAAAUUCGGAUUAAUACACCGUAACAUAUGAGAGUGGCAUCACUUUUAUAUUAUAGCUCAGGCGCUUGAAGAUGGCUGUGCGGCUGAUUAGGUAGUUGGCGGGGUAACGGCCCACCAAGCCUGCGAUCAGUAACUGGUGUGAGAGCACGACCAGUCACACGGGCACUGAGACACGGGCCCGACUCCUACGGGAGGCAGCAGUAAGGAAUAUUGGUCAAUGGACGCAAGUCUGAACCAGCCAUGCCGCGUGAAGGAUGAAGGUCCUCUGGAUUGUAAACUUCUUUUAUCUGGGACGAAAAAAGGGCUUUCUAGCUCGACUGACGGUACCAGAGGAAUAAGCACCGGCUAACUCCGUGCCAGCAGCCGCGGUAAUACGGAGGGUGCAAGCGUUAUCCGGAUUCACUGGGUUUAAAGGGAACGUAGGCGGGCAGGUAAGUCAGUGGUGAAAUCCUAGAGCUUAACUCUAGAACUGCCAUUGAUACUAUCUGUCUUGAAUAUCCCGGAGGUAAGCGGAAUAUGUCAUGUAGCGGUGAAAUGCUUAGAUAUGACAUAGAACACCCAUUGCGAAGGCAGCUUACUACGGGAUGAUUGACGCUGAGGCUCGAAAGCGUGGGGAUCGAACAGGAUUAGAUACCCUGGUAGUCCACGCCCUAAACGAUGGAUACUCGACAUCAGCGAUACACUGUUGGUGUCUGAGCGAAAGCAUUAAGUAUCCCACCUGGGAAGUACGACCGCAAGGUUGAAACUCAAAGGAAUUGACGGAAGGGCGAAUUCCA